rnacentral:other from 1 species
AAUCCCCUAUCAUGCGCGAGGUGGAGAAGAAUUUUUGAUCCAUUACGCUUAGAAUGGGAACCAAUUUGUGGCUAUGGUGUGUAUGCCUGCGUUAAGCAGGAAACCUAAAGUAGCCCAUGCGGAUCCCACCUGGUUUGCCAGGUUCAGAAUAUCUUUUUCAUACGGCAUAGGAUGGGGGAUUA